rnacentral:sRNA from 1 species
ACGAGAUGGCGGUUCUCUGGAGGCUGAGUGCCGUUUGCGGUGCCCUAGGAGGCCGAGCUCUGUUGCUUCGAACUCCAGUGGUCAGACCUGCUCAUAUCUCAGCAUUUCUUCAGGACCGACCUGUCCCACAAUGGUGUGGAGUGCAGCACAUACACUUGUCACCGAGCCACCAUUCUGGCUCCAAGGCUGCAUCUCUCCACUGGACUAGCGAGAGGGUUGUCAGUGUUUUGCUCCUGGGUCUGCUUCCGGCUGCUUAUUUGAAUCCUUGCUCUGCGAUGGACUAUUCCCUGGCUGCAGCCCUCACUCUUCAUGGUCACUGUCUCCAGUGCCAGAUAGUCCACAGCUGUCCUCUCUUGGAAAAUCAGAUUCAUCUUUCUCUGAAAUUUCCGGACUAUUUUAUAAAGAUGAAGCCUUGGAGAAAGAUUUAAAUGUUUUCAAAAGGUACAUGGGAAAUACUCCUCAGAAAAAAGCCGUCUUUGGGCAGUGUCGGGGUCUGCCAUGUGUUGCACCGCUGCUGACCACAGUGGAAGAGGCUCCACGGGGCAUCUCUGCUCGAGUCUGUGGACAUUUUCCUAAGUGGCUCAAUGGCUCUCUACUUCGAAUUGGACCUGGGAAAUUCGAGUUUGGGAAGGAUAAGUACAAUCAUUGGUUUGAUGGGAUGGCGCUGCUUCACCAGUUCAGAAUGGCAAAGGGCACAGUGACAUACAGGAGCAAGUUUCUACAGAGUGAUACAUAUAAGGCCAACAGUGCUAAAAACCGAAUUGUGAUCUCAGAAUUUGGCACACUGGCUCUCCCGGAUCCAUGCAAGAAUGUUUUUGAACGUUUCAUGUCCAGGUUUGAGCUGCCUGGUAAAGCUGCAGGUGAUAGUGAUGAUUAUUUAAACUAUUACGAUAUAUAACCAUCUAUACAAACAUAAAUCUUGAAAAUAGAUUUUUUUGUGUAUGUGAGAGGAUGUUGAAACUGCUUUC